CGCGUGGGUAAUCUACCCUCGAAUUGGGGAUAACAUCGCGAAAGCGAUGCUAAUACCGAAUAAUAUCUUAAGAACCUCGGUUUUUAAGAUCAAAGGUAGGCCUCUACAUGUAAGCUUCUGUUUGGGGAGUGAGCCCGCCGUACCAUUAGCUUGUUGGUAGGGUAAUGGCCUACCAAGGCUACGAUGGUUAGCUGGUCUGAGAGGAUGAUCAGCCACACUGGGAACUGACACACGGUCCAGACUCCUACGGGAGGCAGCAGUGAGGAAUUUUGUCGCAAUGGGGGAAACCCGUACGACGCA
rnacentral:rRNA from 1 species